AGUGCUUUGAGGCAGGCUGGGAGGCUGCUUCUGACUCAGGAUGGUGAGUUGCUAACAGUUUCCUGUACAAGAGGUACCACGCUGUUAUUUUCUGCUGAGUGUAGCUACAGUACGUGACUAAUUAGCCUCACCUCUAUCAGCCUUUCACACAUGCAACGUGUGUGCUCUUUCCCUUUCUGUUACCCGCUCUCUCUCGUAGGCAAAAGCACACAGACCUUCAAAUAAGAGUCGAUCAUACCCUUGUCCUCAACGGAGAUGGCAGAAAUGGCACGAACGGGCUGACCUUCUGGUUUGAUCUCGGACCUGUCUCAGGAGGCUGUUUGGUGAUGCAGACUCUCCACCUGAACCUGGCAGCCAUCUUUGGGUUUGCUCAACUCACCUCACUAGGUACUAUGAGAUGUGCUCUGGGUAGUGGGUUCCUUGCCUUGCGGGUUGUUAUUGCACUUGGUUCUGCUUUCCUUAGGGAAACCAUUAACCAUCCACGUUUCCUUGUUCAAGCGUUGGUACUCCUCCCUUAGAUUAAACUAUCUUUAAAUAAG
ensembl:lncRNA